rnacentral:rRNA from 1 species
GUGGGGAAUCUUGCGCAAUGGGCGAAAGCCUGACGCAGCCAUGCCGCGUGAAUGAUGAAGGUCUUAGGAUUGUAAAAUUCUUUCACCGGGGACGAUAAUGACGGUACCCGGAGAAGAAGCUCCGGCUAACUUCGUGCCAGCAGCCGCGGUAAUACGAAGGGGGCUAGCGUUGCUCGGAAUUACUGGGCGUAAAGGGCGCGUAGGCGGACAGCUUAGUCAGAGGUGAAAGCCCAGGGCUCAACCUUGGAAUUGCCUUUGAUACUGGCUGUCUUGAGUACGGGAGAGGUGAGUGGAGCUCCGAGUGUAGAGGUGAAAUUCGUAGAUAUUCGGAAGAACACCAGUGGCGAAGGCGACUCACUGGCCCGUUACUGACGCUGAGGCGCGAAAGCGUGGGGAGCAAAAAGGAUUAGAUACCCCAGUAGUCC